rnacentral:tRNA from 1 species
GCCGCUGUGGCGAAAUGCAAACGCGCGACGCUCAGACCGUCGUGGGCCCGGCCCUUGAGGGUUCGACUCCCUCCAGCGGUA